rnacentral:lncRNA from 1 species
CGGUUGUGUGCUUCAGAAACUACAGAACAGGAAACCCCCCUCCUACAGCUCUCACCUCUUGCUUCCUGUUUAACUACAUGGGUGAGGGGAGAGAAGCAUCUUAGGAACCAAUAACUGUGUUGCAAAAGAGAAAUGUAAACAACAGCUGCCACGCUGGAAAUUAAAGGUCCUGAACUCGGUCAAUUCAGAUUGCAAUGCAGCUUCCACGCAGCGCUCGUUUUUCAGAAGCAAUGGUAGCGAAAACAGUAACCCAUGGAAAAAAGAACGGGUGGAGGAGAGGAAAGACUGGAUUGCUGAAAGGAAACAUGUCCGGUGAAGCAAAUUUCCUGAUUGUCAAGAAAGACUGCAAUACCAUACCAUAUUGAAUCACUGUGGGGAGCUGUUAGGCAAAUAACGGGACCUUCCGAGUAAAGUCUCAUCUGUGGGGUAUGCUGGCGUUACUUUAUUCUCUGUCCGUGGGUAGGUAUUCUUUUUCUUUCCUUCCCAAGUUACCUUCCAGACCCAACUCAGGAAACAAAC